AGAGUUUGAUCAUGGCUCAGGACGAACGCUUGCGGCGUGCCUAAGAAAUGCAAGUCGAACGGACACUGGGGCAACCCGGUGUCAGUGGCGAACGGUCGCGUAACACGUAGGCAACCUGCCCCGAAGUGGGGGAUAACAGCCCGAAAGGGUUGCUAAUACCGCAUGUGGCCAACAGAUCGCAUGGUUUGUUGUCCAAAGGCUCUCAGCAAUGGGGGUCGCUUCGGGAUGGGCUUGCGGCCUAUCAGGUAGUUGGUGGGGUAACGGCCUACCAAGCCGUUGACGGGUAGCUGGUCUGAGAGGAUGUCCAGCCGGAUUGGGGCUGAGAUACGGCCCAGACUCCUACGGGGGGCAGCAAUUAGGAAUCUUGCGCAAUGGGCGAAAGCCUGACGCAGCGACGCCGCAUGGGGGAGGAAGGGCUUCGGGUCGUAAACCCCUUUUAACGGGGAAGAAGAAUGUGACGGUACCCGUUGAAUAAGCCCCGGCUAACUACGUGCCAGCAGCCGCGGUAAUACGUAGGGUGCAAGCGUUGUCCGGAAUUAUUGGGCGUAAAGAGCUCGUAGGCGGUGUGUCGCGUCUGCUGUGAAAACUCAGGGCUCAACUCUGAGCUUGCAGUGGGUACGGGCAGGCUAGAGUUCGGUAGGGGAGACUGGAAUUCCUGGUGUAGCGGUGAAAUGCGCAGAUAUCAGGAGGAACACCGGUGGCGAAGGCGGGUCUCUGGGCCGAUACUGACGCUGAGGAGCGAAAGCGUGGGGAGCGAACAGGAUUAGAUACCCCAGUAGUCC
rnacentral:rRNA from 1 species